rnacentral:rRNA from 1 species
GAGAGCAAUCUGCUCCCUAAACCCACUGUUUAUCUUACCUACUGUACUGCUUCGGCGGGCGGCCCCCGGGGGGGGCGAUUUACCUGCAAAGGCGCCUGCCGACGGCAACCCCAGAACUCUUUUACUGUCAGUUGUCUUCUGAGCUAUAAUACAAACCUAAACAAAACUUUCAACAACGGAUCUCUUGGUUUGGGCAUCGAUGAAGAACGCAGCGAAAUGCGAUAAGUAAUGUGAAUUGCAGAAUUCCGUGAAUCAUCGAAUCUUUGAACGCACAUUGCGCCCGCCAGUACUCUGGCGGGCAUGCCUGUCCGAGCGUCAUUUCAACCCUCAGGCCCUGUAUAGCCUGGCGUUGGGGCACUGCGAGCCGCCGCAAAGCGAGUGGCACGCAGGCCCCCAAGAUCAGUGGCGAGCCCGCCGCGGCUCCGAGCGUAGUAGUUUUUCUUUCUCGCUUGGGACGCCCGGCGGCGUUCAGCCGUCAAAACUCCACUGUAACUUACUCAGGUUGACCUCGGAUCAGGUAGGAAUACCCGCUGAACUUAAGCAUAUCAAUAAGCGGAGGAAAAGAAACCAACAGGGAUUGCCCCAGUAACGGCGAGUGAAGCGGCAACAGCUCAAAUUUGAAAUCUGGCACUUUGUGGUCAGAGUUGUAAUUUGGAGAGGAUGCUUUGGGUGCGGUGCCUUCCGAGUUCCCUGGAACGGGACGCCACAGAGGGUGAGAGCCCCGUAAGGUCGGAUGCCUAGCCCGUGUAAAGCUCCUUCGACGAGUCGAGUAGUUUGGGAAUGCUGCUCUAAAUGGGAGGUAAAUUUCUUCUAAAGCUAAAUACUGGCCCAAGACCGAUAGCGCACAAGUAGAGUGAUCGAAAGAUGAAAAGCACUUUGAAAAGAGGGUUAAACAGCACGUGAAAUUGUUGAAAGGGAAGCGUUUGUGACCAGACUUGCGCCCGGUGAAUCAUCCAGCCCUUCUCGGCUGGUGCACUUUGCCGGGCUCAGGCCAGCAUCGGCCCUCCAAGGGGGAUAAAAGCUUUGGGAACGUAGCUCUCUCGGGAGUGUUAUAGCCCGCUGCAGAAU